CGCGUUUUCCCCGUUGUAGAUCUCAUGAACGAUGUAGCAGUCCGUUGCCGCCAUCACUCCCCUGUGCACAGAGAGAGGAGAUUAUAAAUACACACCAGCAGCAUGAGCGAAGUUUGGAUGUGAUCUCUCUCCAUGCUCACACCACAUGCACGGUCUCAGGACUCAUGCCGCACUCCUGCCGCUCGUACACAGGUUGCUGGCUUGGACUCAGAUCACAGGCACUGCAUCAUAUACCAGCAGAACCUGUUGGACCAACACCAGACUGUUGUGGCAUUAUUUGACGCUUGGUACACCCAAGGAUGACGCCACCGUCUUUCUACUGGUUUCCUUGAGGAACACCUCAGGAUCCUGAGAAAGCGGCGUCGGACACCAGGACGGCUCAACUCUACUGCUGCACCCACCGAAGAUGACAGACCAAGCAGGAGUCCUGUCUUGCCUGGAAAAUGUUUCAGUAUAUAUAUACUGUAUAUACACACCCACACACACACACACACACUCCCUCCUGGGAGGGGCAGAUAUUAAGACAGACCAGAUCGUCUGUAUUUAUUCUGUUGUUACUGAGAGCUUUAAUAAAUGUUUUAUUUAUUUAACCUUUAUUUAACUAGGCAAGUCAGUUAAUGUUACGGCUAGACGUGCCGCUAGCGGGACACCUCGACAACAUCCGGUGAAAUUGCAGAGCGCGAAAUUCAAACUACAGUAUUAUAAAUAUUUAUUAUUCAUGAAAAUAUACGUGCAAUACAUCAAAAUAAAGCUUAACUUCUUGUUAAUCCAGCCGCAGUGUCAGAUUUCAAAAAGGCUUUACAGAGAAAGCACAUGCGAUUAUCUGAGGACAGCAUACAAAUGCUUAAAUCAUUUUCCAACCAGGCAGUUGCGACAGGAAAGUCAGAAAUAGCGGUAUAAUAAAUGCCUUACCUUUGAAGAUCUUCUUCUGUUGGCACUCCAAAAGGUCCCAGUUACAUACAAAUGGUCCUUUUGUUCGAUAAAGUCCUUCUUUAUAUCCAUAAAAACUCAGUUUAGCUGGGCGCUUCAGUCAAUAAUCCACUGGUUUCCCUCCAUCAAAAUGCAUACAAAAUGAAUCCCAAACGUUACUAAUAAACGUAUCUAAACAAGUCAAACAAUGUUUCUAAUCAAACCUUAGGUACCCUAAUACGUAAAUAAACGAUCAAAUUGAAGACAGAGAAUCGUUAUUGUCUUUACCAGAGAUAAACAAAAAGAACACGCUCUCGUCCAUGCGCAUGGAAACACUACAGCCAAAAUGGGAGCCACUUAGAAAAACUACAACUUCUACCUAAUUUUUUACAAAAACCAGCCUGAAACUCUUUCUAAAGACUGUUGACAUCUAUUGGAAGUCCUAGGAACUGCAAUCUGGGAGGAUUUCGUCUUAUAAUAAAAGUGACAGUCAUUGAAAUAGUGGUAGGCCGAUUAGUUUUUUUUGGGGGGGGGGUAGUUGGUCCUCUGGGUUUCACCUGCCAUUUCAGUUCUCCUGUACUCACAGACGUUAUUUUAACAGUUUUAGAAACUUUAGAGUGUCUUCUAUCCGAAUCUACCAAUUAUAUGCAUAUUGUAAAUGAGUAACAAGCAGUUUACUUUGGGCACGCUUUUCAUCCGGAUGUCAAAAUACUGCCCCCUAGCCCAAAGAGGUUUAAGAACAAAUACUCAUUUACAAUGACGGCCUACCAAAAAGAAAAAGACCUCCUGUGGGGACGGGGGCUGGAAUUAGAAUAAAUAAAUAAUAAAAUAUAGGACAAAAUACACAUCACGACGAGAGACACCACACCACUACAUAAAGAAAGACCUAAGACAAUAUAGCAUGACAGCAACACAUGACAGCACUGCAUGGUAUCAAGACAACAUGACAACAACAUGGUAGCAGCACAAGAUGGUAGCAGCACAAAUACAUGGUACAAACAUUAUUGGGCACAGACAGCAGCACAAAGGGCAAGAAGGCAGAGACAACAAUACAUCACGCGACGCAGCCACAACUGUCAGUAAGAGUGUUCAUGAUUGAGUCUUUUAAAAGCUUGAGUUCCCACAUAUGCUGAGCACUUGUUGGCUGCUUUUCCUUCACUCUGCGGUCCAACUCAUCCCAAACCAUCUCAAUUGGGUAGAGGUUGGGUGAUUGUGGAGGCCAGGUCAUCUGAUGCAGCACUCCAUCACUUUCCUUGGUCAAAUAGCCCUUACACGGCCUGGAGGUGUGUUUUGGGUCAUUGUCCUGUUCAAAAACAAAUGACAGUCUUGCCAUAAUAUGGACUUAUGGACUGAAUAUUUAGUAUUUUUUACCAAAUAGGGCAAUCAACUGUAUACCACCCCUACCUUGUCACAACAUCACUGAUUGUCUCAAACACAUUAAAGAGGAAAUACAUUCCACAAAUUCACUUUUAACAAGGCACAACUGUUAAUUGAAAUGCAUUCCAGUUGACUCCCUCAUUAAGUUAGUUGAGAGAAUGCCAAGAGUGUGCAAAGCUGUCAAGGCAAAGGGUGGCUGCUUUGAAGAAUCUGAAUCUGUUUAACACUUUUUUGGUUACUACAUGAUUCCAUAUGUGUUAUUUCAUAGUUUUGCUGUCUUCACUAUUAUUCUACAAUGUAGAAAAUAGUAGAAAUAAAGAAAAACCCUGGAAUGAGAA